CUGUUGACCAGACUAACGAAAACCAGGACCUAGUCAAUCCGCCUUUGUUUUGUAUUUCACCCAGUUCUCUGGGGCAGCCAGGCCAGGCCACCCACUGUGCUGGCCAACAGGCCACCAGACCCCGAGGUCUACAACCAGCUGCAAGCUUUCCAAUCUGUUCUUGGAGCUCAGAGGGCUGGGCAGCCAGGGGGCCCAGUCCGGAACAUUCCGCCCUCAGGUACUGGAGCGGAGUCCAGGCUGCAGGGCUCGGGAAAGCACCCUCCGGGGCUCUCAACAGAUGGACGACAGCCCGACUCGUGCGCAUCCUACUGGACUCACAGGCCAAGGAAGAGCUGCUAUGCUAAAGACCACAUGCGACAGGUCAUCCCAAUUCCGGAAACCCUGUUCCAUCCUUUGUCCCCAUCCUAGGGAAACCAAGGCGUCCCCUUGGAGAACUGUCUUCCAAAUACAUGCGUGUCCAGAACCUGAGGCCUCCACUUAGGAGAGAUACCAAUGGGUGGGUGACAAUUACCUACCCACUCAUGGUUAAGUCAACCAAGUCCCUUGAAUUUCCUUAAGACCAGGGCUCUGUCCUUCAGACUCCGAGGAGGACUGGGGGUGGGGGUGGGGAGUCACGACUCAAGCCUUCACUUCCUCAUCCAUGAAGUCACAAGGCAGGAGAGCACACUAAACACUCCUAACCUCACUUCGGGGUCCAGAGAUCUGGAAACGUCUCUUCUGAUGCACUGCCUGCAGGAAAGGACUGACUCCCAUGUGCCCAGCCGCAGUGUCCAGCCCGCCCGGCAGGUGAAUGCACAGAUGUCCCCUGACAGGUCCCUUCCAGCCUCAGCGUGAGCCCUUUCCCUCAGCCCCACCCUCCAUGGCGAUGGCGCCCAAGCGCUUCGGGAACAAAUCUUGGCUCCCCCCUCCACUGAAGAUCGGGGCUUGGAGAAGGGGAUGGCGCUCAGUCCGGCUCCGGCAAUGGGAUCUAAAUCGUACAAUCCCGGCACGGACACGUUUUUUGGCUAUGAUGGUUCUCCUGAUGGAAGGUUCCUCAAAGGUAACAGCUGCCCGGAAGUGGAGCUUGGAUUUUGUCACAAAGCCUGUCGCCGUCACUACACUUCCCUGCAGGACUGAGGUUCACCAAUGCUCCGGCUGCUUCGGCUGAGCUGCCCUUUGCAGCUCCGUCCUCACUGGUCCACCAGAGAUGGCGGGGUCGAGUUGCGCCCCACUCCCUCCAGAACUCUGCUGCGGGUCUGCAGUGUCGUUUACGCGCACGCUGCCGGGCCGCGAGCACAGCGGCGGGCGCUUCGUCUCCUGGCCGUCCUGGGCUCCCCGACCCCGAGCCAGCCAGGGGGCCCCGCCGUCCACGGACCAAGCCCCGGGGACCCCCCCGCAGGAAGGGGAUGGCUGGCCGGGAAACACUGCUGCUCUGGGAGGCCGGCGGGAAGCCGCAGGAGCUGAGAUGUUCCAGGAGGAGAGAUCUUCACUUGAUUGGAAAAUAAACACCAUAGCUGAAGGCUCUGUUGCUACGUAAAAAAUCUGAUGAGAUUCAUCCCUGUCAUUUUCCCUGUCGUUUUCCCAGCAUUGCUGUAAAAUCCUUAUAAUACAUUCCAAAGUAAACCAGCCAUUCCAAAUCUA